AACACUGUUAACCUGCGGUACCUGCGGAAGGAUCAUUACCGAGUUUACAACUCCCAAACCCCUGUGAACAUACCACUUGUUGCCUCGGCGGAUCAGCCCGCUCCCGGUAAAACGGGACGGCCCGCCAGAGGACCCCUAAACUCUGUUUCUAUAUGUAACUUCUGAGUAAAACCAUAAAUAAAUCAAAACUUUUAGCAACGGAUCU
rnacentral:misc_RNA from 1 species